CACGGCAGCGCCCGGCGCCUCCCCGCCCCGCAAGUUACUUGGGCGCUGCGGACACCCCCUGCCCCGCGCGAGCUGCGCGGCCGCGUUGAUUCCGUGGUGAUCCCCCAGCAUCGCCCUGCGCGUACAAAGGGAGCUCCGGUAGCAUCCUCUGGUAUUAGCCCCUAACUGUGCCGGUGUCAUUUUCCAGCCAGCAGCCACAGGAGUGGGAUAAGGAUGGUGCAGCUCUAAGGAAAAUACACAUUUUGAAAGUUCCUGGGUAUUUGUUUAUUGUCUUCAACUUCUCUAGCUUUCAACAGCUCCUCAAGAAUGUAUUAUAAUCUGCUCAGUGAAGGUUUUCAAUUCAGCUGUAUCAGCACAAUGGAUAACUUCUCACAUCCUUCUUUCACAUAGAUUAACAAUCUGUCCUGUGUAAUAUACUUCCAUUUUUCAGCAGUACAAAUAUAGAGUUAAAAUAAUUGCCUAUAACAAAUAUUAUUUUCAAUAUCUUUAUUAAAGACACUCAAUCUAGCCAUUUCCCCUAACUUCUUUCAUAAGGUUGUAAAAUAAACCAGUAUGAAGUGUUCAAAAGAAACACCAUCUUAGUGAUAUUUAAAAUGUAUUUUUAUUCCUCAUUGUUUGCUAUAAAGUUAUAGGAAAUGAGAAAACAGUUCCUUCUAAUUUUUCACAAAAGGGACACUUUCUGACUAGUUCUAGGCUAUGUGCUGAAUGGUUACUUUGGUAUCAUAUAUGCAUACUAAACAGUCAAUUUUUUUCAUUUAAGGAAUUAAAAUUUUGCUUUCUAGGAUUUUUGUAAGAUUUCUAUAUGCAUAUGAGGCUGAACACUCAUUGGGAGGAAGAAAUGUAAAUAGAUUACCCUUAGAAAGAAGUCCUGUUCCAAAUAAUUCAGGUCAGUAAUGGAGGAAAGUGUGUAGAGGAGAAGGUCUAAUAAAUGAUGGGAAGCUUAUGAGGACACAAGUCUAGUGAAACUCCAUAAUGGUUGUGCAGCUGAACAUAUCUUGGAAGAAAUUUCAGGGUUAUUCAGACUUUUCAACUGGGAACAUGGCACAGGACAAUGAAGUAGGAUCAAAAAACCUUCACCUGCGUUACCAGCAGAAACUAGAAGAGAAAGGAAUGGAGCCAGGCCUCAGUACAAGCAGCAAAAGACCUGUUUGGUCUACGGGACCAGGAAAUAAGUGGUAUUAAUAAUGUAAUCAACACAUUUUGAAAUUACAGAUCUGUCUGUGUCCAUUAUUAACAUGUCUAUGUAUUUAACCUAGAAAUUUACACAAAUUUGUUACUUUCUUCAACUGUGCUGCCACUCUGUGUUGUGAGUACACUCCAGCAAGUCUCUGUCCCAGUUCUUCUGUUCAGCUGCCAGAUAAACUGCAGUGCCUCGCUUUGUCACUGGGGUGUUGUGCAUCACUAGCAUGUGGCCAUGCAUCUCACCACAGAGGUGGACAUCUUUCAUCUGGGUGAAAUGACUUUAUGGAAAUAGCCAAUAUUUGAGGAAACACCUCUAAAAAUGCCAAGUCUCAAUUGAAGCUCAAAUCAAUGUAUGAAAAAAAACCCCUGAAUUAUUCCCACUAAGUCCAUCAGAGGAUUAUUUUCUUUUUAGGCAUCCCUGCCUGUGGAAAAUUGGAGCCAUGGUUCUCUAGUUCUCUGAAAAACCUUCUAGACUUACAAGGAAUGUUAAGUCUUUAGGAAAGUCAGUGAAAAGGGCAAUGCCAUCUAACUCCUUGUUUGUACCAUAUUGUCUUUCAGACCAAUCAAUCUCUCAUCCUCAAGUACAGAUGUCCCUAAGCAGAAGGUAACACCUGAGUGAACAUAACACAAUCCCAGUUUUUAGUCUGAAUAAUUUACUGUUUCCAUAAGUGGUGAGAACACAAUUUUUACAGUUUAUGAAUCAUUACACUUUGUUUUUCUGCCCAAUAUUAGGUAAAUCUGAGAAUGGGACUAUAUUUCAGCUAAAACAGAGGAAAGAAAUCACAUAUUUCUAAUGUGCCAAAAAAGAAUAGGCAAAUUGAUAGCUGCCAAUCCAAUUCCUUCUGAAUGUCAGUUACCACUCUAAUUUUCUCUCAAUUCUAAAGGGUGACAGCUGCGAGUUAGCCUUCCCUGUGUUUUUCAAGAACAUGGUGGUAUCUCCAAGCAAGGGCAAGCACUAUAUGAAAACAGAAUGACAGGAUGACACACUUUAGGUCAUCUGCAGUGUUCAUCUGCUAAAGCACACUAGCUCUAUACUGCACCUGUAGUGGCCUGCAUCUCCGAAUGGGGAUGAGUUUUGCAAAUAGGAGAAGGAAGCAUCACUGGUUUUCUUCAGGGAGCAGCCUAGUGUGCUGCCCUACCUGGAAAGCUCCUCCACAGGUCUGAUCUCAUUCUGUUAUGCUGUUGCAGCUUGUGAUUCUUUAUCAAUAUUUCCUUUCUUUUUUGCACGGAUGUAACUGAGAUGGGAGUUCUCACAAAAGCAACAUAGUAGCAAAAUAGCAAGCGUGAAAUAGUAGCACCAGGAUAAAAACUAUAAUGCAUUGCUGAGAAUGAGAUACAAUGUUUUAAAAAUAAAUUUGUACUACCCACU